rnacentral:lncRNA from 1 species
GCGUCCAACGCUCACGUCACGCCUUAAUGCGGUGCUACACUACGCCAUCAAGGUGGACAGGCGGGUGUAUAAAUAUGUGUCCAUACCCCCUAUAUGAAUUUAACACUCAAAUAGGGCUGCUACGCUUACGUCCAACGCUCACGUCACACCAUAAUGCGGCUAUAUGCUACGCCAUUAAGGUGGACAGACACAUAUGGCUAGCUAGCAUUUAUAUACAUACUCUCUCAUAAAUACAUAUUUAUAUUCACCGAAAAUCCCAUUUUCGGUAACUCUCCAAGAGAAAUAAAAAUCGUCAAAUUUAAAAUGACGUUAAAAUACUCCACGACAUUAAUUGUUCAACCAUGAACUAUAGCAUGCAUUUAUUUAAAAUAAACGUCCACUCACAAAUUAGGCCUAAGCCUGAUGUCGAUCUGGGGUCUCGUCUGCUCGAGCCUCCUCACGUCCUGUUCCAAAUAUAAUAUUAAUUUCCCAACCAAUAAUCCAAUAUUUAAUCAAAAUAGGCAAAAUUACCCGAGAGCCAUAAAUACGCUCAUCAUUGCCUAACUUCGAUAUUCUUACAUCGGAACGAUCCGAACUUAAAUAUCAUACUCAUCAGUCGUAAAUACAACCUCCCUAAAAUACGACUUAAAUCCUACGGCCGGAUUCUACAUUAAUUAACCGCCAAAAAUACCAAACUUCGGAAAUUCACAAACCUAUCCAAAUCUCAUCCAAAAAUUCCAUAAAUCACAUCAAAAUACUCCUCUUAAUAUUCCACACUUAAAACCCUAAAAAUCUCCUAACCGCCGGCGGCUCCGCCGGCAGCGACGGCCGGAGGCCAAUUCCGGCGACCUCCAAAACCUAUGAAAUUUUGACAGAAUAAUCUCCUCAUCAUGCUCUACAACUUUCAUGACCAACACAACACCCAAUUCCAAGCCUAACUAGGCUAAUCGAACGAAAACAACUUAAAAGCCCUAGAAAUUUCAACUCCAUAUUUCUCCUUACCUAGCUCAAGAGGGAGGGAGCUGCUUGGAGGGGUUGCUGCACGGGAGGAGGGCUACAAAACCGUACCAAGCUUGCCCGGAUUGGAGGCCGGAGGAGGGAGUUCCGGCGACCGGAAGUUCGGGGCAGCCUAUCCUUUCGAGCGGCACCGCUCUCUCAAGGCGGCGCUAGGGGGGCUGUUACCGGCCUAGAAUGGAAGCUGGGUUGGAGGCCGUUCGAUUGGGACCGGUGCGGCGGUCUGGGGCGGCCGGACGGCGGCGGUCUAGCGGUCGGAAAUCCGGUAGCGGGAGGGCUUGGGUGCGGGAGCGGGUGAGGAGAGAAAAUCGGGAGGAAAAGAGAAUGGGUUUGGGCCUCACACCCCAAACCGGUCCAUCACCUAUAUACUACCCAAUUCUAAAAUAAAACACCCCGAAAAAAUAAUACCCGAAUAAAAAUUACCUUUUACUAGCUAAAAUUACUAUUUUUACCGUCGUCGUAUUUUCCUCAUACGAAUAAUCCUCCGCACAUAAUCGUCCCCGAAACCCCUCUAGGGACCAAUUAACUAUUAACUCAAUGAUCGAGACGGUAAAAUUCUUAUUAUAAUCACGCUAGUAAAUAAGGUAAAAAUAUAAGGGUCGGGAUGUGACAAUUCUCCCCUCCUUAUAAAAAUUUCGUCCUCGAAAUUAACAUACAUGUCAUCCGAAGAGAUAGGGAUACUGCUGCAUCAUUUGCUCCUCUGAUUCCCAAGUAGCUUCUUCUACUUGAUGACUUCUCCAAAGCACAUUGACAAGCGGGAUUGUCUUAUUCCUAAGCACUUGCUCCUUUCGGUCGAGAAUCUGAACCGGUUCCUCUUCAUAGGUCAAAUCUCUCGUCAAACUGAUCGGCUGCUCUUGCAGCACAUGAGAAGGAUCGGCAAUAUACUUGCGAAGCAUGGAUACAUGAAACACAUUAUGUAUCCUAGCUAACUCUGGAGGUAAGGCUAAUCGAUAAGCAAGUGAGCCAACUCGCUCUAUAAUCUCAUAAGGGCCGACUCGCUCUAUAACACAUUGAUACCUCGGGCUAAGCUUCCCACGCUUCCCGAAGCGCACACCC